AUGCCAGAGGCUCUAUUUCCUAGCAUUUUACAGCUCCUAUAACUGUAGAAUGGUUGUAGGUCACAGGUAUAACCAAUGAAAACACAACCUAAGAUACAAAUCAGGAGCUACUGAUGCAAAGAAUGGGGACCAGGAGGAAGAGUUUCUUCGAGACCUGGUGGUUGAAGAGCAGUGGAUCAUUCUUGGCUGUGGUGGGAGAGGUGCUGAACGUUGUUCACGCUGGCUAUGUCAUGAGUGGAAUCUAUGGCGUCAAGGCUAGAGCUGGAGGGAAUGGGCUCCCCAUUGAGGUGAUGGACUUCAUCCCUGGUGCUAUUCAAGCAGUGGCUGUGGGCUUCCAGUCAGGGAUGCAGUGAAUGAGCCUCUUAUACCAGAGAAGGAUGGAUAGAGAAAAGCAUCAUUACAAAAGUGAAAUGUGUGAAUUUUAUUCUGGCUUUGAACAUUGAGUAGACGAAGAAGACAAUUCCAGACGGAGGAAACUCCACAAGAAAUAUCAUGGAAAUUUGAAAGAACACAGUGGGCUUGGGAAGAGAGAUCUCAGUGGUGGAAGCACCAUCAUCCCAAGGAGACUUAGGACAUUAUUUGAAGAGAGUUUUCCCCUGAGGAAAGUGCUUCAGAGGAGAAAAUACACCAGAAAAAGACAAGGCCCUGCUCUGAGGAGUGAAGACACAAUCCAGCAGGCAGGAGGGAUGGCUAAGUUCAAAGUCUUGAGAAGUGCCCCUCAUGGACACCCCAGGGUGCCCAUCUCCAGGUUACCACCAGGUGCUUCCAAGACCAAGAUAACCAGGCAAUCAUAGUAGAUGCAUCAAUGCACCCUUGCCCAAGGGCCUAGACAAGAGGAGGAAGGAAAGGAGGAGCACGUGCACAAAGCUAAGGAGGUGAUUAACAACAUGAUACAGUAUUGUUUAGCUUCGCAUGAAUUUUAUCACCUUGCCUAGAACCAGCCACCAUCUGCCAGGGCUCCUGACUUUUUCUGAAAUGAAUAGACACUAAAGCCUGCUGGGGAAUUUCAUGGAAAUCAAGAUGACUCAACCCAGAGUCCAUUUCAAGGCUAGGAUGCUAGAGGACGCCAACAAAGGAGUAGGGAAGUGAAACGGAUCAGCUCACAUCCAAGCCCUUGCAUGAUCAAUCCUGCAGUAGGAGUGCUGCUCAGUUGGGACUCAUGAGAGCCCGGAAGAGGAAAAAGCAGCUCUAAGCAUAGCAAAGAAGCUGUUAUGGAAAAGACCCAAAUGUUAAAAUGGUGGACAUAGUAAAGUGAUUGGUUCUGCUUAGGGGAAUCUAGAUCCCCACAUUUUGACCUCCACUGGAGUCUCAGAAGAACAAGUGCCAGGGGGGCUUGCCACAGAGGCCAAGGCAGUGAAUGUCAGGCACAUCACAGUCCCCAAGAUGGGGAGAAGACUGAGAUGCAGGGUAACAACUGCAAUCCAUUCAUGGGAGCCAUGUUUAUCUUAAAUCAUUGACAGUGAGAUAAGGAUCAUGUCAGCCUUCAUACCUUUGAUGAUGAUCCCAGGCUGCAACAGUGACACAUAGAACUGGAUUCAGUAACUAACUACAGAUUCCAUCAACCAGGACUAGUAAAGUGAAAGGCAGAAAUUGGGAGGAGGGGUUUCUUUCUUGCUUAUAAAACUUUAUUUGGUUGUGUUGAGUAUGUGCAUGUAUGUAUGAAAUCCCAUAAAGCAGUCUUCUUAGGAACAAGCCAACAUGCCACAAUGUAGGAGAUCUUUGGAGCACUGGCCUAAAUGGCAGAGAGCUCAAGGGACUCUGCUUUGUACAAGGCAUGAUUUGUACCACCACCACUAUCCCUGUUUCAGAGCACUGUUGAAUUGUUCCAAACCUGGAUUUCUAUGUCAGCUCCCUGUCUAUAGUACUUGACUGAUAAAUGCUAGUUUCUGAAAUCUGCUUUGGUUCUAUAAUUUAUUAGACAGCUUUUUCUUCCCAUUUUAUUACUUGUUUUUACUGUCAUUGGUAUAUUAUCUCUUACAGUGAAAACAUUCAUAGGCUGAUUGAAGAGAAGAUCUGAAAUUAUUAGGCAGCAAGCAUACAAAACCCUUGCUUUAUAAAGAUAAUAUCUUAAAGGCCUAAUGUCUAUGGUUCAAAGCAGCCUGGAGAUGUUGGCUAAAUCUUCCAUCAUAGAGUCCUCAUGGGAUCUGGAAGCUCUGAUUUAUCUUCCU
rnacentral:lncRNA from 1 species